AAUAAGUGCUAUUUUACACUAUUCUCGUUCAACGUUUAACCGUUUGUCUUAUUUGAAAUUUUUUUAUGAUUAGUAUUUUUAUUGCUAUUAGAUGAUAAAAUAUGAAUAUUACUUUAUGUGUGAUUAAAUAUUUUUAAUUUUUUCACAAAAUUUUUAAAUAAGACGGAUGGUCAAACGUUGAGCACGGAUAUCCACGGCUACACUUAUU
rfam:Oryza glaberrima chromosome 10 Oglab10_0072_3, whole genome shotgun sequence.